rnacentral:rRNA from 1 species
UACAGAGGUCUCGAGCGUUGUUCGGAUUCAUUGGGCGUAAAGGGUGCGUAGGUGGCGCCGUAAGUCGGGUGUGAAAUUUCGGAGCUUAACUCCGAAACUGCAUUCGAUACUGCGGUGCUUGAGGACUGGAGAGGAGACUGGAAUUCAUGGUGUAGCAGUGAAAUGCGCAGAUAUCAGGAGGAACACCGAUGGCGAAGGCAGGUCUCUGGGCAUUAACUGACGCUGAGGAGCGAAAGCAUGGGGAGCGAACAGG